UACAUUAGAAUAGGGCCAGCCCCCAGACGCAGAUAUAAUGUGGGCCUGCUGUGUCUGCCUUCACGAACAUACAGGGGAAAGUACCAUGGAUUUCUUGGUUGUAUAGACAUUCAGGGUGCAGCAGAGCACAGUCAGACAUUAAAACAUCCUCAUCACAUGUACACUCUGAUCUCAGGAAGCGCACACAGCUUUGGUGUAUAGCAGAGGAAACUCAGGACCUGUACAUUCGUCAUUUCUUAUCAGCUGCCUUCCUGCGCUCCCCAGGCUCAGACUGCGCUGAACACUGCCGCUGACUGACGAUGCCACAGCGUACCCAGCAUUCCCUGGUCUACAUCCUCCUGCUGUGGACCACCGUCGUUUCCAUAAUCCAGAUUGUGCUCACCGUCCUCUUCUUCACAACGGGACAUAAUGGCCUGUCUCAGAACUGUAGCGCUGUAGAACAAGUGCCAGAUAAAAGCCCACACCAACAACACAGUACACCUUCGCCUUUUUCCAUGGAUGUGCUGCAGUUGGGACCAGGCAAAAUGGUCACCUUUACAGCUAGCAUAG